UUUAUAUUAUGUUGAAGCCUCAACUUCUCUUUUAAUUUUAGCUCUGGUGGACACUGUAACCAUGUGUUUGCUAUGUUAUAUUUGCUGGUUCAUUGGACAUUACUUGGUGUACGUGAGAUUGCUGCUGACAAGACAUGCACUAGUCUUCCUCAAGAAUGGCAUAAACCUCGACGUGAUGACAUAGAGGCACAGCCAGUUAUGAAAUGUGUUUUUGCAAAGUCUAGUAAAGACCGGGAUGACACAAGAAAGCGGAAACCAGUGACGUGUAAUUUGUAUGAUGCUACAAAAAAAGCUAAGAUCAGUACCACAGUAGUAACACAAGUUUGUGAGAAAUUAGGAAAUGAAAGCAAAGUCCCUCCUUUUUCAUAUCUGCUAAGAGAUCAAGGCAGUAACCAAAAUAUCAACACUGUGAUGGGCAAUGUACCACUUGGAGCCUACUUGGGGUAUCAGUUAUAUGAUCAGAAGAAUAAAUCUUAUUUCAACAUGGUGAGGUCUGAUGAGAAAAUAUUACCUCCAGAUAGACAACAUAAUGCAAUACGUCCCUUUCCAGAUAUACCUAUAGUCCUAGAUAACACAGAUACAUUCCCACUACAGAACAGCCCUUCUGCACUUCUUCUUUUUAACAAGAUCAGUGUAACCACUUCACAAGCCCACACAAUUAAAAAAUCAACAGUACAGCAAGUACUAAGUGCUGAUUGGAGAAAAGAAAGAAAAUUUUUGAUUAACAGCCUCUAACUUUGGAAGAGUUUUGUCCAGAAAGCGAGAGCCUACAGAGCCAUUUAUGAAUAACAUAUUUGAAUGCCCAGACAUAUCUAAUGUCCAGUCAGUAAGACAUGGCAAGCAAAACGAAACUUUAGCAAGAACAAUUUAUUGUCGCAAGAUGCAAAAGAAAGUGCACCGUCUCUGUUGUGUUUAUGAAAGUGGACUGGUAGUCAACCCAACAUACCCCUACCUAGGAGCCACCCCAGAUGGCAAGGUUUUUGAUCCAACAGAGGAAAACUGUUUUGGGCUUUUGGAAAUAAAAUGCCCAUAUACCUGGCGAAAUUCAAGUUUUCUUCAGGCAUGUCAGGAUAACAAGUUUUAUUGUCAAUGUGUUGAUGGCCUUGUACGACUUAAGAGAGAACAUAAUACUGGCUAUUAUGCCCAAGUACAGGGUCAACUGGCUUUAUCAGGUCUUAGCUGGUGUGACUUUGUUGUGUACUUGACUGGAUCAAGGAGCAUGAACGUUGAACGAAUAUACUUCAACUCUCUCUAUUGGAGGGACACAGUUCUCCCUAAAAUGAGAGAUUUCUAUGAAAAGCACUGCAUUAAGUACUUAAGCAAUCAUUUGUCAGUUUAAAUAAUGUUUUCCCAUUUCAGACCACAUACAGUUCCCCCAGAGUAUCAUUUCUUUGCUUGAUGGUUGCACAUGAGAAGACAUAUGAAUAUGGAUACACUUAACAAAGAAUCUUGGGAAUGACAUGUGCUCCGAAAUGGGACAACAUUACGCCCAAGCUGAUGGGAUCUAUUGUCAAGCAGUGAAAUGUAAUUCAAAUCCCAGUCACAUGAUCAAGUCACAUGAUCAAGUCAAAGUGUAUCAAAAGU